rnacentral:rRNA from 1 species
GUCGAGCGGCGGACGGGUGAGUAACACGUGAGAAUCUGCCCAUUAGUGGGGGAUAACCUGGGGAAACCCAGGCUAAUACCGCAUAAUCCCUACGGGGGAAAGCAGGGGACCUUCGGGCCUUGUGCUGAUGGAUGAGCUCGCGUCGGAUUAGCUUGUUGGUGAGGUAAUGGCUCACCAAGGCGACGAUCCGUAGCUGGUCUUAGAGGAUGAUCAGCCACACCGGGACUGAGACACGGCCCGGACUCCUACGGGAGGCAGCAGUGGGGAAUCUUGGACAAUGGGGGCAACCCUGAUCCAGCCAUGCCGCGUGUGUGAAGAAGGCCUUCGGGUUGUAAAGCACUUUCAGUAGGGAGGAAGGCUUAUCCUUAAUACGGAUGAGUACUUGACGUUACCUACAGAAGAAGCACCGGCUAAUUUCGUGCCAGCAGCCGCGGUAAUACGAAAGGUGCGAGCGUUAAUCGGAAUUACUGGGCGUAAAGCGCGCGUAGGCGGUUUGCUAAGUCAGAUGUGAAAGCCCCGGGCUCAACCUGGGAACUGCAUUUGAAACUGGCAGGCUAGAAUGCAGUAGAGGGAGGUGGAAUUUCCGGUGUAGCGGUGAAAUGCGUAGAGAUCGGAAGGAACACCAGUGGCGAAGGCGGCCUCCUGGACUGACAUUGACGCUGAGGUGCGAAAGCGUGGGGAGCAAACAGGAUUAGAUACCCUGGUAGUCCACGCCGUAAACGAUGUCUACUAGUCGUUGGGAAUCUUAGUAUUCUUGGUGACGAAGUUAACGCGAUAAGUAGACCGCCUGGGGGAGUACGGCCGCAAGGUUAAAACUCAAAUGAAUUUGACGGGGGCCCGCACAAGCGGUGGAACCAUGGUGGUUUAAUUCGAUGCAACGCGAAGAACCUUACCAGGCCUUGACAUCCUUGGAACUUUCUAGAAAAUAGAUUGGUGCCUUCGGGAGCCAAGUGACAGGUGCUGCAUGGCUGUCGUCAGCUCGUGUC